UCCUGUGCUGCCAACAAGGACACCAUGUCACUAAUUAGCCUUCUAUCGCCGUGACACCUGUCCCUUUUCGAAUCCGCACCGUUUCAUUAACUCUCAUGUGGUUUUGGGCUUUUUCGUUUAUCUCUGGUCGCUGUGGUUUUCGAGACAGCCCAAUAGCCAAACAGAUUGAACCCUAAUUGUGUUUUACACGCAUAAAGGAUUUUACGGUACGUCUCUCUUUUUUCUUCAGUGGUUCCCCUCUUCUUCCUCCUGUGACUUUCUGAUCUUCAUCUGUAACAUUGAAACGCUUCCAGUUAUAUCUUCUUCAUGUUUGAUCCUUUAUUAAUUAGAUUCUGCUUAUCUUCCUGAAGGGGAAUCUGCUGAUUGGUCAAAGACCACUACUCCUUUCGUCAAGAAGGAAUCAGGAGAGGGAGAAGCCAUGGAUGAUCUCUUCUCGGCGUAUAUGAAUCUUGAAAACAUUGAUGCCUUAAACUCCCCUGAAGCUGAUAUGGAGAGUAGUAGAGCAAGCGGGACCAAGACUAACGGUAGUGACGACACAGAGGGAGAAAGCAGCAGCGUCAAUUACGAGAGUGGUGGCGAUCAUAACAAUAGCUUUACAGGAGUGUUUCAGUAGACAUUUUCUUUGUCAUGCUUGCUCUGGUUCAGAGUUGGCGUACCUGCGAGUAUAAAUAGAUCACCAUUAUUCCCCUUACAAUCAUCUUCCAAGCCGUGUAUCUACUACACCUAUAAAAAAGCUCGCUUUUCUGAGGAUGAUAAUUGUUUGUGUUCAAACUUUUGGUGAAGCAACAAAAAGUUGAGUUGGAGAGAAGCCACUUCUAUCUGUUUGAACAUUUUUCCAGUGUUUAGAGGAGUGGCGACAUUGAAAGUGAGGGCUAUGAAAGAAGUUUGGAACAUUGCAUCAGUGUCUACAGGGAUUAAGAACUCACUACUUCUGAAGGCUGCAACAACAUUAGUAAUGGUAGCAAUGGAAGCUCCAGUAGUUGUCACAGUAGCUAGGAUAAUUUCUUGGUAAUUAGCAGAGAAUGUCUUGCAAGAGGCUGUCUACUUCUCAAACGUACUUUGUCAAGGUAAUGAAUAUUAUUUUUUCUUUUUGAUUUAGUUUACGUUUCAGUUCUUGGAUAUUUUUCCUAAUGCUUUGUUACUGUUGGAAGUUGUCUCCGCUGGAAAAUAGUUCAUGUUUCAAUCAACACUCUGAUGAAACAAAUAAAACAGAGCCAAACUGUUUGUGAAUAAGUGAGGAAUCUUUAGCUUACUUUAUAUGGAUGUGAACUUUCUUAUAUCAAACACACAUAGAUACUUCAAAUGGCAGGAUAAGAAGAAAGUAGAAACAAAGCUAAGGCUGAUAUAAAAAAGCAUACGUUAUGACAAUGAUGAUGAUAAUGAAGUUAUGGGAUCUACAUUUGUGUAUUACUUAAGAAUUUUCUUUGUGAAUCACCAAGAUGAAAGACUAUAAAAGGUAUGUCUUGGCAUUAUAAUUUAGGCUUUUUAGUAUUAGUUUAUUUUGUGGAAUUUUUUUUUUGUUUCGGUCAUCUUAUAUAUGUUAUUACUAAGUUUGUAAGUCUCAUGAUCAUUUUUGUGAUUUGCCUUUUGGUGGAAUGUAUCUUUAUUUUUUUCA